rnacentral:rRNA from 1 species
UACGUAGGGUGCGAGCGUUGUCCGGAAUUAUUGGGCGUAAAGAGCUUGUAGGCGGUUUUGUCGCGUCUGCCGUGAAAAUCCGGGACUCAACCCCGGACUUGCGGUGGGUACGGGCAGACUAGAGUGUGGUAGGGGAGACUGGAAUUCCUGGUGUAGCGGUGAAAUGCGCAGAUAUCAGGAGGAACACCGAUGGCGAAGGCAGGUCUCUGGGCCGAUACUGACGCUGAGGAGCGAAAGCGUGGGGAGCGAACAGG